GUGAAGCCAUCCCAGACAGACAGGCACAACAGGAGGCAGCCAUGUUCGUCGAUACAGUGGUUCUCGCCGGAGUCGGCACCGUACUUCUGAUGGUCGCGUUCUUCGGGGGUGUUGGUUACUUCAUCUGGAAGGAUGCGCACAAGCGCAAGCAGAGCUGAUCCUUCCAGUUCACUGGGCACGCAAGGCAAUUCGGGCGACUUCGGUCGCCCUUUUUUUUU
rnacentral:sRNA from 1 species